GAUGAACGCUGGCGGCGUGCCUAAUACAUGCAAGUCGAGCGAACAGACGAGGAGCUUGCUCCUUUGACGUUAGCGGCGGACGGGUGAGUAACACGUGGAUAACCUACCUAUAAGACUGGGAUAACUUCGGGAAACCGGAGCUAAUACCGGAUAAUAUAUUGAACCGCAUGGUUCGAUAGUGAAAGACGGCUUUGCUGUCACUUAUAGAUGGAUCUGCGCCGCAUUAGCUAGUUGGUAAGGUAACGGCUUACCAAGGCGACGAUGCGUAGCCGACCUGAGAGGGUGAUCGGCCACACUGGAACUGAGACACGGUCCAGACUCCUACGGGAGGCAGCAGUAGGGAAUCUUCCGCAAUGGGCGAAAGCCUGACGGAGCAACGCCGCGUGAGUGAUGAAGGUCUUCGGAUCGUAAAACUCUGUUAUUAGGGAAGAACAAAUGUGUAAGUAACUGUGCACGUCUUGACGGUACCUAAUCAGAAAGCCACGGCUAACUACGUG
rnacentral:rRNA from 1 species